rnacentral:rRNA from 1 species
GUGGGGAAUCUUGCGCAAUGGGCGAAAGCCUGACGCAGUCAUGCCGCGUGAAUGAUGAAGGUCUUAGGAUUGUAAAAUUCUUUCACCGGGGACGAUAAUGACGGUACCCGGAGAAGAAGCUCCGGCUAACUUCGUGCCAGCAGCCGCGGUAAUACGAAGGGGGCUAGCGUUGCUCGGAAUUACUGGGCGUAAAGGGCGCGUAGGCGGACAGCUUAGUCAGAGGUGAAAGCCCAGGGCUCAACCUUGGAAUUGCCUUUGAUACUGGCUGUCUUGAGUUUGGGAGAGGUGAGUGGAACUCCGAGUGUAGAGGUGAAAUUCGUAGAUAUUCGGAAGAACACCAGUGGCGAAGGCGACUCACUGGCCCAAUACUGACGCUGAGGCGCGAAAGCGUGGGGAGCAAACAGGAUUAGAUACCCGAGUAGUCC